rnacentral:rRNA from 1 species
UAAACUAGGAUUAGAUACCCUAUUAUUUUAAAAGUGUGUUUUUACCAGAUUAGUAGUAGUUAAGUUCUUGAAAAUUAAAAAAUUUGGCGGUAUUUUAGUCUUUUCAGAGGAACCUGUCCUGUAAUUGAUGGUCCACGAUUAAAUGAACUUUAUUUAUUAGUUUACAUAUCGUUGUAGUUGGAAUAUUUUAAGAGAAUAAUGUUCAUGAUUAUUAAUUAGUGAGGAUAUCAGAUCAAGGUGUAGUUUAUAAUAAAGUAGAGAUGGGUUACAAUAAAUUUAUUUUAGGAUAAUUUUUAGUAAAAAAGUUUGAAUUUGGAUUUGAGGGUAAUUUUAAUUAUUUAGUUAAGAUGAUUAAGCUCUAAAAUAUGUACACAUCGCCCGUCGCUCUUAA